rnacentral:rRNA from 1 species
UACGUAGGCAGCAAGCGUUGUUCGGAGUUACUGGGCGUAAAGGGUGUGUAGGCGGUUCUUUAAGUUUGGUGUGAAAUCUCCCGGCUCAACCGGGAGGGUGCGCCGAAAACUGAAGGGCUAGAGUGCGGGAGAGGAGAGUGGAAUUCCUGGUGUAGCGGUGAAAUGCGUUGAUAUCAGGAGGAACACCCAUGGCGAAGGCAGCUAACUGGGCAUUAUCUGACGCUGAGG